rnacentral:tRNA from 1 species
GGGCCCGUAGUUCAGCUGGUUAGAACGGACCGCUCAUAACGGUUAUGUCGCAGGUUCGAAUCCUGCCGGGCCUACCA